AUGUGUCAGCCGCCGCGGUAAUACGGAGGCCUCGAGCGUUGUUCGGAAUCACUGGGCUUAAAGCGCGUGUAGGCGGAGCGGUAAGUACUUUGUGAAAUCCCCGGCUUCAAUCCGGGAACUGCUUGGUAUACUGCCGUUCUUGAGGCAGGUAGGGGUCACUGGAACCUUAGGUGGAGCGGUGAAAUGCGUAGAUAUCUAAGGGAACGCCUGUGGCGAAAGCGGGUGACUGGGCCUGACCUGACGCUGAGACGCGAAAGCGUAGGGAGCAAACGGGAUUAGAUACCCCGGUAGUCUACGCCGUAAACGAUGCGCACUAGGUUCGAGUGCCACUGACGGUUCUCGUGCCGAAACAAAAGCGUUAAGUGCGCCGCCUGGGGAGUACGGCCGCAAGGCUAAAACUCAAAGGAAUUGACGGGGGCCCGCACAAGC
rnacentral:rRNA from 1 species